UUAGUGGCGGACGGGUGAGUAACGCGUGGGUAACCUGCCUCAUACAGGGGGAUAACAGUUAGAAAUGACUGCUAAUACCGCAUAAGACCACGGUACCGCAUGGUACAGUGGUAAAAACUCCGGUGGUAUGAGAUGGACCCGCGUCUGAUUAGGUAGUUGGUGGGGUAACGGCCUACCAAGCCGACGAUCAGUAGCCGACCUGAGAGGGUGAUCGGCCACAUUGGGACUGAGACACGGCCCAG
rnacentral:rRNA from 1 species